GGAUUAGAUACCCUGGUAGUCCACGCUGUAAACGAUGUCGAUUUGGAGUUUGUUGCCUAGAGUGAUGGGCUCCGAAGCUAACGCGAUAAAUCGACCGCCUGGGGAGUACGGCCGCAAGGUUAAAACUCAAAUGAAUUGACGGGGGCCCGCACAAGCGGUGGAGCAUGUGGUUUAAUUCGAUGCAACGCGAAGAACCUUACCUGGUCUUGACAUCCAUAGAAUUCUGCAGAGAUGUGGGAGUGCCUUCGGGAACUAUGAGACAGGUGCUGCAUGGCUGUCGUCAGCUCGUGUUGUGAAAUGUUGGGUUAAGUCCCGCAACGAGCGCAACCCUUAUUCUUUGUUGCCAGCGAUUUGGUCGGGAACUCAAAGGAGACUGCCGUUGAUAAAGCGGAGGAAGGUGGGGACGACGUCAAGUCAUCAUGGCCCUUACGACCAGGGCUACACACGUGCUACAAUGGCGUAUACAAAGGGAAGCGAAGGUGCGAGCUGGAGCGGAUCUCAUAAAGUACGUCUAAGUUCGGAUUGGAGUCUGCAACUUGACUCCAUGAAGUCGGAAUCGCUAGUAAUCGUAGAUCAGAAUGCUACGGUGAAUACGUUCCCGGGCCUUGUACACACCGCCCGUCACACCAUGGGAGUGGGUUGCACCAGAAGUAGAUAGCUUAACCGCGAGGGGGGCGUUUACCACGGUGUGAUUCAUGACUGGGGUGAAGUCGUAACAAGGUAACCA
rnacentral:rRNA from 1 species